GUUCCUGUGGUUAAGAUCUAACGAUGGCUUUUCAGGCCAUAGACCUUGGAGAAAAGCCAAGCGGGAAUU
rnacentral:tRNA from 1 species